rnacentral:rRNA from 1 species
AUUGAACGCUGGCGGCAGGCCUAACACAUGCAAGUCGAGCGAGCGGCGGACGGGUGAGUAAUGUAUGGGGACUGCCCGAUAGAGGGGGAUAACUCCUGGAAACGGUAGCUACUACCGACUCCAAUUUGAUAACACAUAUGGGAUUAGCUAGUAGGUGAGGUAAUGGCUCACCUAGGCGACGAUCCCUAGCUGGUCUGAGAGGAUGAUCAGCCACACUGGGACUGAGACACGGCCCAGACUCCUACGGAGGCAGCAGUGGGGAAUAUUGCACAAUGGGCGCAAGCCUGAUGCAGCCAUGCCGCGUGUAUGAAGAAGGCCCUCGGGUUGUAAAGUACUUGCAGCCGGGAGGCGUUACCGGCAGAAGAAGCACCGGCUAACUCCGUGCCAGCAGCCGCGGUAAUAC